AUUGUUACAUUGCUUACAAGGACUUCCACUAGGCUGCCAGGGGACUUCCAUUCUUAUCCUCUCCCUGUACGCAUGAGAGAGAGAGUGAAAGGAAGAGAAAAGGGAAUAGAGAGAAGAAGAAGAAGAAAGUAACAAAUUUUGGUGCCGUUUGUCGUUUGUCGAGCCGAUCGAAACGCCGCGCAUCGGAUUUUUAGCAUUUCGACAUUCGGGAGCUGAUUUUGCGAGCGUUUCGUCGACGGAUUUUUCCGUGAGUUUCGGAUUGUUGUGGCUGCCAUGCGGAUUGGGUUUGGGCUGUUAGGUAAUUCCAGAGCAAGGUUCGGAAGCUUAGCUCGGAAUUGAUCACCUGUCAACCUAAUUGGGGGUAAAGCGAACGCGUUGGAAAACUCGGAUCGACGUUCCGACGAGUCUACGGCACGCUAACGAGGAAAACCUCCUUUUAGCCUAAGUUAUUGCGAGCAAGGAUUGUGAUCAUUCGUAAAGUGCGGCAAGUGGAAUUUUGGCAUUCCAAUAUCAAGUAAAGGUUCGCACGCGAGCGGCGCGGCGGCGCGAGGACAGGGCGUAGCUUCGUAGAUAGCGCCCUACCACCGAGACCAGAGAUAGCAGUACCCUGAAGCAGUCUAGCUCAGAGUUCAGGUUGAAAGAAACAAAUUUGUAGUAAAUUGUAUAAGUUGUAAAUUGGAUAAAGAUUUAUGUAAUAACAUAAAGGCAUUUGUAAUAUUCUAAAUGUAAAAUCUGUGAGAUGAAUGCUUGUAAUAGCAUAGCUAGCAUUUUAUGUUUUUGAUACUUA